CUACACUUUCACAGAUUUUUUUUUUUUUUUCAUUUCAAGAAAGCAUUGUAUGUUUAUCUAGUCUCCUGGAAUACAGAGAAAGGACAUAUGCUUAUCUGUUCAUCUGGAUUCCCAGGACCAAAAGACCAACAGCCUGCACAGAGACAUCCUGCUACAGAUCAGUGACUGUACUCUGCAGUCAGGUUAAUGAAGAAUGAGCUGGCUGAAAGAUGAACAUGAUUAUGUGUAAGACAACAGAUCUUAUGGAAGCAGAAGACUGUAUGGGGGACCUACACAGUGACCAACAGCAGACUAGCAGCAGAACACUGAACAAAAGGAAAACCAGACUUGUCUGUUACAUAUGUUUUCUCACAAGAAAGAGCACACGCGGGGAUUCAGUCCCCAUGUGACUUCAGGAGAAGGCAGAGGAGUUACAAAGAAGGGAUUAACUGGCAAUACAUUUGCAAUUAAGUGCUCUGCCAUCCUUGCUCUCUUUUCAGCAGCUUUACAUUUCCUUCUGUUGACGUUAUACCCCCAAGAUACCCAAAGCAGGUGGGGUGGUCGGGAACGAAGAGUCUCAUAAGCAAACGCUAAAGAGCUCCUAAUUCAAGAUGGACACUAAAACUGCUGAAAAUUUUGUAACAAAUUGUCAACUUUUUGUCCCCCUUCCAAAAGCUCCCAGAGACUCUUGCUCUUGGUGUUGGGAUCUCCUUUCUAACACAGAUAUUGUUUAAAUAUGCAAUGUUAUUUUACUUUAGUUCUCAAAUGAGUCUUUAUUUCAUCCAGAUGUUACUGCUCAUAUCCCUGUCUUCGUUUAGAGCAACACUUUGUAGAAUACCUAAUCUUUAAGUCACUUUUACUUUAAUUCACCACUAUAUUUUUAAACGACUGUGUUUGACAUAAACCACUAGCUGGUUUCACAACUGCAGCGUCUCCACCUUUGGCAAACUCUUCACUUAUUUAUUCCCUCCUCUUUUAAUGGAGUUGCUGGAACCACUUAAAAUCCAUUAAUACACUACAAAUUUCAAGCACAAAUCAUAUUUGUGUGAACUAGUGCAGUUGGAAAUGCUGAAUAACUUCUACUUCAUAUGAAAUCAAGUCCAUUGUAAAUGUGUAAUUGCGAUCCUCAAACAGCUUAAAGAUUUUCUGCAAAUACUAUGUGAAGAGUCUCUUCCUGUGAAAGAAGUGGCACUUAGCACCAAGGUAUUUUCAUCCUGUCAACACUGGUAAGAAAACCAACCGUAGUUUUGCUAGCAGGGAUAAGCCUGAGGUUAGAAACCAAGCACAGAACAGAAAAACCCUACCACUACAGGUUUGAAGCAUCAGCCAUCCCUGAAGCAGCUGUAGAAGUGCCUGCAAUUACCUCAGGAAUGAGGAGCAGCUGAGUUCAGUUCCCAGUUAGCUCUUACUGACCUAGUGGUUGUUAACCCUGUACGUGGUGGGGGGGUCUUUAAGAAUCUUUAAGGUUCUGUCCAAAGUAAGCUAUUCUGUGAUUUAAGAAGUAAACGAGGAAUGGAAGGAUCUUAGGGUUUUACAUAACCAAUUGAGUUAGGGGGCAGUGGGAGGACAAGUGAUGUAAGAGAAAGGUGUGUGUUUAAGCUGCCAGUUUGACACUUGAUCUAUUUCUCUGAAAGGCCCUGUGGUUAGCUGCUGAAGGGUUGGAGGAGAGUCUCCUCUAAAGAAAAAAAUAAACAAAGAAAAACCAUGUAUGUCACCACAGCAGAAGAUACUGCAUUUGGAUGUGUGAGCGAGCAGUGGAUCCUUUGGGAAGUGCCAACAGGGCCUCGUAAUGGCCAUGCCUCCAGAAAGCUGCUGUGGAGGUGGAUCUGCAUAUCUUGUUUAUUCCAUUUGCUUAUCCAGGGCACCCUACAGAUGGAGGGAUAAGAAAAGAUCAGAGGAAUUUUUUCUACCUGCUCUUUAUCUUUCCAGCACACUGUCAUAUAUCUGUAGUUGCCAUGCAUGCUGCUAAUACUGGAGCUUAGAAGAAAGAGAAUGCCAUAAGAUGAAAGAAACCACUUAACAAAGUGUUAUGAAUGUUCAUCUCCCCAUCUUUCUGUCUCUUGGUUAGGUGCAGGGAGUGAUCUUGACUCAAUAAUGUCUCUUUUUGCAAGUUUGACACUGGAAAUAUCACCUGUACAAAGAACAUUUAUACAGUUGCAUGCACAUUUCUGUACAAAGUCUGACCAGAAACUGUGAAACCAUGGCAAGCUCGCUGCACAGUGAGCUGUUCAGGACCAUAUGAUACCACAGCCAUUUAUAUGCAGG
ensembl:lncRNA